ACAUCUUUUUAUUUUAUUUCUUCUUAUCGCUCCCUCGAAACAUUAAAACUCCCCAAAAGCCUAAAUAGUAAAUCUCUAAAUCCCUAAUCAUCUCUAAUCUUUCUCCGACGACGAACGGCGACCAUCCAAUUCCUCUACCGACUAACGGCGAAUGAAAAACGACUAACCUAUCUUUGUGACGACGAACGACACAUGCUCUUGAAAGUUUCUGCUAAUCAUCUCUGAUCUCUCUUAUAACAGAUGUGAAUAUUACUAUUGCAAUUGAAGCCAUUCAAGCUAUUGGUAAUCUUGCUCGUGGUCCUAGAACCCAUUCUUUUUCCAAUUCACGCUCUCUAUUGCCAGUUUUACUUAUAUAUAUGGCAUCCACUUCCACCUCCACCUCCAUUGACAUGCCAACAAAGGUUGCCACUCCAGAAACGCAUCCUACGGUAGAUACAGUUGUAAGUGGCACUCAUGACGUAGGCACUCCAACUAGGGUUAAUGAAGAUGAAGCUGUUAAUCCUUUUGCAAGGAAGAAAAGAAAAAAGACCUCUACUGUUUGGAAUGAUUUUAGAGAAGCGGUGCUGCCGAACAGAGACAAAGAAGCAGAGUGCAUCCAUUGCAAGGCAAAACUUGUCAUGACGACUACCGGGAGUACUACUCACCUCUCUAAACAUAUGAAAACUUGUGUACGAUAAUCAAUUUUUCAAAGGCAGCAACAAAUCUUUUUCUAGCCGUUAGAUGCAAAUGAGAAUGUGGUUGUGCCAAUUCUUACCAAUGGGAAAUUUGAGAUGGCAAAGAUGAGGGAACUUUGUGCUAAUUGGGUGUUGCAGCAUAAGCAUCCUUUUAAUGUUGUGGACCAGGAAAAUUAAACGUUAUGCUCAAAUAUGACAUACCACAGUUUGAAAAGAUUGCUUGCAUCACAUGCAUAAAUGAUUGCUUUAGUUUGUAUGAAAGGGAGAAAAGGAGGUUAAAUAAUUUGUUAAAGAAUGUUGAGAAGUUAAGCUUCAUGACAAAUUUAUGGACCUCAUCUAAUGAAAAGCUUGAGUAUAUGGUGCUAAUAGGGCACUUCUUAGACAGUAAUUGGAGAUUACAGAAAUGAGUUCUGAACUUUGUGUAUAUACCUCCUCUGUGUACGAGUGCUAUGAUUGCAGAUUUGCUUUACAAGUCUCUGAAAGACUAGGGUCUGGAAACCAAAGUUUACACGAUAUCAGUCAAUAAUGCAACAAGUAAUGAUGCUACAAUAAGAAUCUUGAGAGAGAAUUUGUCAAUAAGCAGUAAACUACCAUGUGGGGGGAAAUUGUUUCACGUGUGGUGUUGCGCACAAAUCUUGAACCAUUAGGUUCAAGAUUGUCUCUCUGAAAUAAAAUAUAUUAUUGAAGAUGUCCGAGACAGCGUGGCAUAUGUGAAACAAACGGAGAGCAGACUUAGAAUUUUCAGAGAUUGCCUCACCAAAAGCUUAUUUUGGAUUGCAAGAUGAGGUAGAAUUCCACCUAUAAGAUGUUUUCGAAUGCACUUAAAUUCAAAGAUUUUUUUAGAAGAUAUUGUAAGAAAGACCCACAUUACAGAGCCAUUUGUCUAGAAGAAGAGGAUUGGGUAAAAGUGGAACAAGUUACUGAAAUUUUGGAACCAUUUUGUACGGUAACUAAUAUCAUCUCUGGGAGUGAUUACCCGACCGCAAAUAGGUUUUUGAGUGAAGUUUUCUAGGUGAAGGUGAUGCUAGAUAACAAGGCAGACGAGAAAUGGUGAAAAAGUAUUGGGAGGAGUGUAACUUGUUGAUGUCUGUAGUUGUGGUUAUAGAUUCUAGGUGCAAAAUGGUAGUGAUUAACUUUUGUUUCCCUCAAAUGUAUGAAGAGGAUGAAGCACUUGCGAAUAUUGAUAAAGUUAGAGAUGCCUUGUAUGAACUUUACCAAGAAUAUGUAGAUGAGUCACAAGCCUCCACCAACACUCAACAAAUUAGAGAUGGUAGCAUGGUUCCUUGGGCAUCUUUACCAUUGUGACCUCUUGAUUUUGGUUUUCAGUUAUUUACACAGCAUUUGAAGACAGUUCAAACUAUUCCACCAAAAAAAUAAGACUUAGAUUGUUAUUUGG